AUUGUACGCUGGCGGCAGGCCUAACACAUGCAAGUCGAGCGGAUGAAGGGAGCUUGCUCCUGGAUUCAGCGGCGGACGGGUGAGUAAUGCCUAGGAAUCUGCCUGGUAGUGGGGGAUAACGUCCGGAAACGGGCGCUAAUACCGCAUACGUCAUGAGGGAGAAAGUGGGGGAUCUUCGGACCUCACGCUAUCAGAUGAGCCUAGGUCGGAUUAGCUAGUUGGUGGGGUAAAGGCCUACCAAGGCGACGAUCCGUAACUGGUCUGAGAGGAUGAUCAGUCACACUGGAACUGAGACACGGUCCAGACUCCUACGGGAGGCAGCAGUGGGGAAUAUUGGACAAUGGGCGAAAGCCUGAUCCAGCCAUGCCGCGUGUGUGAAGAAGGUCUUCGGAUUGUAAAGCACUUUAAGUUGGGAGGAAGGGCAGUAAGUUAAUACCUUGCUGUUUUGACGUUACCAACAGAAUAAGCACCGGCUAACUUCGUG
rnacentral:rRNA from 1 species